AAAGGUCCUUCGCCUCUACUAAAAUUGGAAUGAUAUAGAGAAAUUAGCAUGGCUUCUGGGCAAGGAUGGCACACACACUGGGUGGCAUUUUAAUUUGAAUU
rnacentral:snRNA from 1 species